GACGAACGCUGGCGGCGUGCUUAACACAUGCAAGUCGAACGGAAAGGCCCUGCUUUUGUGGGGUGCUCGAGUGGCGAACGGGUGAGUAACACGUGAGUAACCUGCCCUUGACUUUGGGAUAACGUCAUGAAACUGGGGCUAAUACCGGAUAGGAGCUCCUGCUGCAUGGUGGGGGUUGGUAAGUUUCGGCGGUUGGGGAUGGACUCGCGGCUUAUCAGCUUGUUGGUGGGGUAGUGGCUUACCAAGGCUUUGACGGGUAGCCGGCCUGAGAGGGUGACCGGCCACAUUGGGACUGCGCUACGGCCCAGACUCCUACGGGAGGCAGCAGUGGGGAAUAUUGCACAAUGGGCGGAAGCCUGAUGCAGCAACGCCGCGUGCGGGAUGACGGCCUUCGGGUUGUAAACCGCUUUCGCCUGUGACGAAGCGUGAGUGACGGUAACGGGUAAAGAAGCACCGGCUAACUACGUG
rnacentral:rRNA from 1 species